rnacentral:rRNA from 1 species
AUUGAACGCUGGCGGCAGGCCCAACACAUGCAAGUCGGACGGUAGCACAGAGAGCUUGCUCUUGGGUGACGAGUGGCGGACGGGUGAGUAAUGUCUGGGGAUCUGCCCGAUAGAGGGGGAUAACCACUGGAAACGGUGGCUAAUACCGCAUAACGUCGCAAGACCAAAGAGGGGGACCUUCGGGCCUCUCACUAUCGGAUGAACCCAGAUGGGAUUAGCUAGUAGGCGGGGUAAUGGCCCACCUAGGCGACGAUCCCUAGCUGGUCUGAGAGGAUGACCCGCCACACUGGAACUGAGACACGGUCCAGACUCCUACGGGAGGCAGCAGUGGGGAAUAUUGCACAAUGGGCGCAAGCCUGAUGCAGCCAUGCCGCGUGUAUGAAGAAGGCCUUCGGGUUGUAAAGUACUUUCAGCGGGGAGGAAGGCGGUGAGGUUAAUAACCUCACCGAUUGACGUUACCCGCAGAAGAAGCACCGGCUAACUCCGUGCCAACAGCCGCCGCAG